GCUGGGCAUGAUGGUGCAUGCCUAUAGUCCUAGCUACCCAGGAGGCUGAGGCAGGGGCAUUGCUUGAGCCCAGGAGUUUGAAGCUGCAGUGAGCUAUGAUAGCACCACUGCACUUUAGCCAGGGCAACACAGUGAGACCCUGUCUCUA
ensembl:misc_RNA Metazoa_SRP Metazoan signal recognition particle RNA